rnacentral:rRNA from 1 species
CGCAUCUGUGCAUGCAGCAUAUCAAUAAGCGGAGGAAAAGAAACUAACAAGGAUUCCCCUAGUAACGGCGAGUGAAGCGGGAAGAGCUCAAAUUUGAAAUCUUAAAGGGUUUCCCUUUACGAAUUGUAGUUUAAAGAAGUGUUUUCUGUUGAGGUUUUGGUAAAAGCUCUUUGGAAUAGGACAUCAUAGAGGGUGAGAAUCCCGUAUUUGACCUUUACUUUCAACUUUGUGAUACACUUUCAAAGAGUCGGAUUGUUUGGGAAUGCAGUCCAAAAUGGGUGGUAAAUUUCAUCUAAAGCUAAAUAUUGGCGAGAGACCGAUAGCGAACAAGUACCGUGAGGGAAAGAUGAAAAGAACUUUGAAAAGAGAGUUAAACAGUACGUGAAAUUGUCAAAAGGGAAGCGUUUGACACCAGUGUUGUUUUUCUGAAAAUCAAUUAAAGAACUGUUUAUGCUAAGUUGUUUAGACUUUAUCAGCUAACUGUUUAGUUUUGAGCUUUUCUUUAAUGCACUUUUCAGUUAACAAGUCAACAUCAAUUUCUUUUGCUGUAAAAAAGCUUGAGGAAGGUGGCUUGAGAUUCGUCUUAAGUGUUUAUAGCCUCUUGCCUAUGCAGUCGGAGAGAUUGAGGUCUGCAGCGUAGAUCCUUCGGGGCUAAAUGCAUUUGUGCUAAGUUAUAGCAUUUUAUAGACAACUUGUUGACUAUGAUUUGUCUUGUAGCUUACUCGCUUAUGUUAUUUUACCUACGCUUAGGAUGUUGACAGCAGUAUAGACUGU